rnacentral:rRNA from 1 species
ACUCCUGCGGGAGGCAGCAGUGGGGAAUAUUGGACAAUGGGCGCAAGCCUGAUCCAGCCAUGCCGCGUGAGUGAUGAAGGCCCUAGGGUUGUAAAGCUCUUUCACCGGUGAAGAUAAUGACGGUAACCGGAGAAGAAGCCCCGGCUAACUUCGUGCCAGCAGCCGCGGUAAUACGAAGGGGGCUAGCGUUGUUCGGAUUUACUGGGCGUAAAGCGCACGUAGGCGGACUAUUAAGUCAGGGGUGAAAUCCCGGGGCUCAACCCCGGAACUGCCUUUGAUACUGGUAGUCUUGAGUUCGAGAGAGGUGAGUGGAAUUCCGAGUGUAGAGGUGAAAUUCGUAGAUAUUCGGAGGAACACCAGUGGCGAAGGCGGCUCACUGGCUCGAUACUGACGCUGAGGUGUGAAAGCGUGGGGAGCAAACAGGAUUAGAUACCCCUCUAGUCCCAUGA